AAGUCGUAACAAGGUAACCGUAGGUGAACCUGCGGUUGGAUCAUUAACAAUUUUUUGGGACCGCGCCGUGAAUUUGUCUGGUUCGCCAGGCAAGGACAUGGUGCGGGAUCAAUUAACACCCUUGUGAACCAUUGAAAUGUCUAUUGGCGGUCGUGAUUUGUUCCAUCAUUGAGGACGCUGACUCUUACGGGUCUUCUGCCUUCUACCUCUGCUAGGAGAGGCUCUGGUGGCUGAGAACUCUAUUAGAGUGAUCUGAUCGCGGCUCGCCAGCCUAGAUGAAAUACCAUAUUUUUUCUUAUC
rnacentral:misc_RNA from 1 species